AUUGCUUCUUAGAUUCUUGGUUUAGGUGGAAGUAGAGCAUCGGGUCUUAACAGGGUAAAAUCUGGUGUGUUCCUUAUUGAAGACAAUGCAUUCACCUCCUUUUUUGAAUGGAGAGGUAAAGGGGGGUUGCUCUAUCCGUUCCAAGCAUCAAUCUGGCAUUGCAGUAUUUCCAGGAAUGGUGAAUUUCCA